GUUUGAGCCUAUACGACUAUCAGGAUAAAGCAAGCAGAUAUAGGAAGGGGUUAACAUACUUGAAAAACAGGGCAACCACAAAUCAAAACCAGAUAAUACAUUCUCAAAAACUAAAAAGAAGAGGACACAAGCAUAAAAUAAAAGGAAAACAUCCGACAACAAAAAAAGAAAGGAAUAAAGGAAAAACACAGAAUCAACUGGAAAACAAAGUUUAAAAUGGCAUAAAUACAUAUUUAUCAAUAAUUACUUUAAACGUCAAUGGAUUGAAUGCUCCAAUCAAAAGACAGAGGAGAGAGUUCCCAUUGUGGCGCAGCAGAAACCAAUCCCACUAGGAACCAUGAGGUUGCGGGUUCAAUCCCUGGCCUUGCUCAGUGGGUUAAGGAUCCGGUAUUGCCAUGAGCUGUGGUGUAGGUCACAGAUGCGGCUCAGAUCUGGCACUGCUGUGGCUCCGAUUAGACUUCGCCUGGGAACCUCCAUGUGCCACAGGUGUGUCUCUAAAAAGCAAAAAAAAAAAAAAAGAAAAGAAAAAAGAAAGACAGAGUAGCAGACUGGAUAAAAAAAACAAGAGCCUACAAUAUGCUGCCUGUAAGAGACGCACCUUAGGGCAAAAGACACAUACAAAUUGAAAGUGAGUGGGUGGAAAAAGAUAUUUCAUGCGAAUGGAAAAGACAGGAAAGCAGGAGUUGCAAUACUCACAUUAGAAAAAAUAGACUUUAAAAUGAAGGCCAUAAAAAAAGACAAAGAAGGACACUAUUUAGUGAUAAAAGGAUCAAUUCAAAGAACAGAUGUUACACUCAUCAAUAUAGGAGCACCCUAUACAUACAACAAAUACCAACAAACAUAAAAGGAGAAAUUGAUGGGAAUACAAUAAUAGUAAGAGACUUCAACACCCACUCACAUUAGUAGACAGAUCCUGUGGACAGAAAGGCGGAGUUCCUGUCAUGGCUCAGUGAUAAUGAGCACCUAGUAUCCAUGAGGAUGAAGGUUCAAUCCCUGACCUCUCUCAGGGGUUAAGGAUCUGGCAUUGCCAUAAGCUGUGGUAUAGGUCACAGAUGUGGCUCAGAUCCCGUGUUGCUGUGGCUGUGGCUGUGGCUGGCAGCUGCAGCUCCAAUUCAACCCCUAGCCUAGGAACUUCCAUAUGCUGUGGGUGCGGCUCUAAAAAGACAAACAAACAAACAAAGAAAAGAAAAUCAAUAGGCAACAUAGAUCCCAAAUGACACAAUAGAAAAGUUAGACCUAAAUAAUAUUUUCAAGACAUUAUAUCCAAAAAGAUCAGAAUACACAUUCUUUUCAAGUGCAAAUGGAACAUUCCCAAGGAUUAACACACAUAAUGGGGCACAAAACUAACCUGAAGAAAUUUAAGAGCAUAGAAUUUAUUUCAAGUAUCUUCUCUGUCCACAACAGCAUGAAACGAGAAAUCAACCACAGGAAAAGAUAUGAUUAAAAAAAAGUCUAUCUGGAGACUAAACAACAUGCUAAUAAAAAACCAAAAUGGGGUGCUCACUUUGGCAGCAUAUAUACUAAAACUGGAAUGAUACAGAGAAGAUUAGCAUGGCCCCUGCACAAGGAUGACAUGCAAAUUUGUGAAAUGUUCCAUAUUUUUAAACAGUAUGGACAUACCUCAGAAAACUAAAUAUAGAACUACCUUAUGACCCAGCAAUCCCACUCCCGAGCAUAUAUCCAGACAAAACUUUCAGCCAAAAAGAUACAUAUACCUGUAUGUUCAUCACAGCACUAUUCACAAUAGCCAAUACAUAGAAACAAACUAAAUGCCCACUGAGAGAUGAAUGGAUUAGGAAGAUGUGGUACAUAUACAAUGGAAUACUACUCAGCCAUUAAAAAGGACAAAAUAAUGCCAUUUGCAGCAACAUGGAUGGAACUAGUGACUCUCAUACUGAGUGAAGUAAGUCAGAAAGAGAAAGACAGACCCCAUAUGAUAUCACUUAUAUGUGGAGCUUAAAAUAUGGCACAAAUGAUCUAUCUACAAAACAAAAAUGAUCAUGGACAUGUAGGACAGGCUCAUGCUUGCCAGGGAGGAGGGGGAGAGAGUGGGAUGGAUUGGGAGUCUGGUGUUAGUAGAUGAAAACUGUUGCAUUUGGAGUGGACUGGCAAUGAGAUCCUAUUGCAAAGCAAAGGGAACUAUAUAUCUAAUCACAUGAUGGAACAUGAUGGCAGAUAAUGUGAGAAAAAGAAUGUAUAUAUAUUUAUAUUUGGGUCACUUUGCUGUACAGUGACAGAAGACUAAAUCAAUCAUAAUAAAAAAAUUUUUUUAUUUAUUAUUUUGUCUUUUGAGGGCUGCACCCGUGGCAUAUGGAGGUCCCCAGACUAGGGAUCUAAUCAGAGCUGUAGCCGCUGGCCUAUGCCAGAGCCACAGCAACACCACAUCCGAGCUGCGUCUAAGACCUACACCACAGCUCACAGCAAUGACGGACCCUUUAACCCACUGGGUGAGGCCAGGGAUUGAACCUGCAACCUCAUGGUUCCUAGUUGGAUUCGUUAACCACUGAGCCACGACAGGAAUUCCCCCUAAAAAAUUUUUUAAAUAAAAAAAAAAAAACAAUGGGUCAACGAGGAAAUCAAAAGGGAAAUUCAAAAAUACCUUGAGACAAAUGAUAAUGAAAACACAACCAUUCAAAAUCUAUGGGAUGCUAGCCAAGACAUGGAAACAACCUAAAUGUCCAUCAACAUGGAGGAGUGGAUAGAGAAGAUGUGGUACACACACACAACGGAAUGUUACUCAGCCAUUAAAAGGGAAGAAAUAACAGCAUUUGCAGCAACAUGGAUGGACCUAGAAAUUAUCAUGCUAAGUGAAGUCAGUCAGACAAUGAGACACCAAUGUCAAAUGCUAUCACUUACAUGUGGAAUUUAGGAAAAGGACACAACGAACUUUGCAUAACAGAUACUUACUCACAGACUGAAAAACGUAUGGUUUCCAAAUGACACGUUGUGGGGUAGGGGGAUGCACUGAGGGUUUGCUAUGGAAAUGCUGUAAAAUUUGGUUGUGAUCAUUGUUGUAUACCUAUAAAUGUAAUAAAAUUCAUUAAGUAAUUUAAAAAAAACCGAAAUCUAUGGCAUGCUGCAAAAGCAGUUCUUAGAGGGAAGUUCACAGAGAUACAGGCCUUCCUCAAAAAAGAAGAAAAAUCUCAAAUCAACAAUUUAAACUACCACCUAAAGGAGUUCCCGUAGUGGCUCAGUGGGUAAUGAAUCCGACUAGGAACCAUGAAGUUCGAUCCUCAAGCUCAGUGGGUUAAGGAUCCAGCAUUGCCGUGAGCUGUAGUGUAAGUCACAGACGCAGCUCAGAUCCUGCCUUGCUGUGGCUGUGGCGUAGGCCAGUGGCUACAGCUCCAAUUAGACCCCUAGCCUGGGAACCUCCAUAUGCCGCAGGUGUAGCUCUAAAAAGAAAAAAAUAAUUACCCAGAAGUUCCCAUUGAGGUUCAGCAGGUUAAGAAUCUGACCAGUAUCCAUGAGGAUGAGGGUUUGAUCCCUGGCCUCACUCAGUGGGUUAAAGAUCCAGCGUUGCUGUGAGUUGUGGCAUAGGUCACAAAUGUGCCUCAGAUCUGAUGUUGCUGUGGCUGUGGUAUAGGCCAGCAGCUGUACCCCUGAUUUGACCCCUAGCCUGGGAACCUGCACAUGCCACUGGUGUGGCCCUAAAAAGACAAAAUAAAAAAUAAAAAACAAAAACAAAAGACAACCUACAAAUGGGAGAAAAUAGUUUCCAAAGAUGCAACCAACAAGGACCUAAUCUCCAAAAUAUACAAACAACUCAUACAACUCAGCAGCAGAAAAACAACCCAACUGAAUAACGGGCAGCAGACCUAAACAGACAUUUCUCCAAAGAAGACAUACAGAUAGCCAACAGGCACAUGCAAAUAUAUGCAACAUUGCUAAUUAUUAGAGAAAUGCAAAUCAAAACUACAAUGAGGUACCACUUCACACAGGUUAGAAUGGCCAUCAUUAGUAAGUCUACAAAUAACAAAUGCUGGAAAGGGUGUGGAGAAAAGGGAAUCCUCCUACACAGUGUGGGAAUAUAAAUUGGUACAACCACUAUGCAAAACAGUAUGGAGGUAUCUCAAUAAACUAAACAGAAAACUACCACAUGACCCAGCAAUCCCAUUCCUGGGCAUAUAUCCGGCCAAAGCCUUCAUUAAAAGAGAUACAUGCACCAUUAUGUUCAUUGCAGCACUAUUCACAAUAGCCAAGACAUGGCAACAACCUAAAUGUCCAUCGAGGAAUCCCCUUCCUGGCUCAGCGAACCCGACUAGGAUCCAUGAGAAUGUGGGUUUGAUCCCUGGCCUCACUCAGUGGGUUAAGGAUC
rnacentral:lncRNA from 1 species